rnacentral:rRNA from 1 species
CGUAAUGGUGGGGAACUCUAAGGAGACUGCCGGUGACAAACCGGAGGAAGGUGGGGAUGACGUCAAGUCAUCAUGGCCCUUACGGCCAGGGCUACACACGUGCUACAAUGGUCGGUACAAAGGGUUGCCAAGCCGCGAGGUGGAGCUAAUCCCAUAAAACCGAUCGUAGUCCGGAUCGCAGUCUGCAACUCGACUGCGUGAAGUCGGAAUCGCUAGUAAUCGUGAAUCAGAAUGUCACGGUGAAUACGUUCCCGGGCCUU